rnacentral:rRNA from 1 species
UACGUAGGUGGCAAGCGUUGUCCGGAUUUACUGGGCGUAAAGAGCGCGCAGGCGGUCGGCCAAGUCGAGUGUGAAAGCCCCCGGCUCAACUGGGGAGGGUCAUUCGAUACUGGUCGACUCGAAGGCAGGAGAGGGAAGCGGAAUUCCCGGUGUAGUGGUGAAAUGCGUAGAUAUCGGGAGGAACACCAGUGGCGAAGGCGACAUCCUGGACCGGUAUUGACGCUGAGGCGCGAAAGCCAGGGGAGCAAACGGG